GGGCAGUGCGGGUGCUAUACAUGCAGUCGAACGAACUCUGGUAUUGAUUGGUGCUUGCAUCAUGAUUUACAUUUGAGUGAGUGGCGAACUGGUGAGUAACACGUGGGAAACCUGCCCAGAAGCGGGGGAUAACACCUGGAAACAGAUGCUAAUACCGCAUAACAACUUGGACCGCAUGGUCCGAGUUUGAAAGAUGGCUUCGGCUAUCACUUUUGGAUGGUCCCGCGGCGUAUUAGCUAGAUGGUGGGGUAACGGCUCACCAUGGCAAUGAUACGUAGCCGACCUGAGAGGGUAAUCGGCCACAUUGGGACUGAGACACGGCCCAAACUCCUACGGGAGGCAGCAGUAGGGAAUCUUCCACAAUGGACGAAAGUCUGAUGGAGCAACGCCGCGUGAGUGAAGAAGGGUUUCGGCUCGUAAAACUCUGUUGUUAAAGAAGAACAUAUCUGAGAGUAACUGUUCAGGUAUUGACGGUAUUUAACCAGAAAGCCACGGCUAACUACGUGCCAGCAGCCGCGGUAAUACGUAGGUGGCAAGCGUUGUCCGGAUUUAUUGGGCGUAAAGCGAGCGCAGGCGGUUUUUUAAGUCUGAUGUGAAAGCCUUCGGCUCAACCGAAGAAGUGCAUCGGAAACUGGGAAACUUGAGUGCAGAAGAGGACAGUGGAACUCCAUGUGUAGCGGUGAAAUGCGUAGAUAUAUGGAAGAACACCAGUGGCGAAGGCGGCUGUCUGGUCUGUAACUGACGCUGAGGCUCGAAAGUAUGGGUAGCAAACAGGAUUAGAUACCCUGGUAGUCCAUACCGUAAACGAUGAAUGCUAAGUGUUGGAGGGUUUCCGCCCUUCAGUGCUGCAGCUAACGCAUUAAGCAUUCCGCCUGGGGAGUACGGGCCGCAAGGCUGAAACUCAAAGGAAUUGACGGGGGCCCGCACAAGCGGUGGAGCAUGUGGUUUAAUUCGAAGCUACGCGAAGACCUUACCAGGUCUUGACAUACUAUGCAAUCUAGAGAUUAGACGUCCCUUCGGACAUGAUACAGUGUGCAUGUGUCGUCAGCUCGUGUCGUGAGAUGUUGGGUAAGUCCCGCACGAGCGCAA
rnacentral:rRNA from 1 species